rnacentral:rRNA from 1 species
UGGGGAAUAUUGCACAAUGGGCGCAAGCCUGAUGCAGCCAUGCCGCGUGUGUGAAGAAGGCCUUCGGGUUGUAAAGCACUUUCAGCGGGGAGGAAGGCGGUGAGGUUAAUAACCUCACCGAUUGACGUUACCCGCAGAAGAAGCACCGGCUAACUCCGUGCCAGCAGCCGCGGUAAUACAGAGGGUGCAAGCGUUAAUCGGAAUUACUGGGCGUAAAGCGCACGCAGGCGGUCUGUCAAGUCGGAUGUGAAAUCCCCGGGCUCAACCUGGGAACUGCAUUCGAAACUGGCAGGCUAGAGUCUUGUAGAGGGGGGUAGAAUUCCAGGUGUAGCGGUGAAAUGCGUAGAGAUCUGGAGGAAUACCGGUGGCGAAGGCGGCCCCCUGGACAAAGACUGACGCUCAGGUGCGAAAGCGUGGGGAGCAAACAGG